AUGACGUCACAGGACCUGAGGAGGAGCCCCCGGGCUGACACCUGCAGCCGAAGACCGCCUCAGCGCCCGGUCCCACGGCUCCACGCGAGAGAGGCCUGCUCUUCCUCCGGCAAAUCUUACAGCUUCGCCUACCUUAAGCGAGUGACUUUAAAGAUUCAAAGAGUCUUUUUUGCUUUGAAUCAGAAAAACAAAUUUCACCUGAAAGUCAUUACUCAGGAUUUCUCUUCAUUAUUGAAAUUUACAAGGUGCAAGACCCAUAAGGUAUUCAGAAGAAGAAAUCACGCACAGACAUACAAACCAGGACGCGAGCUCCGGUGGAUAGGAUGGGAGCUCCUCUGUUUUCUGAUCGCAGACAUCAAAGUAACAUCGUGCUCCACACCUCCAAACGCAGCUGACAAAUCGGAGCCUCGUCCUCGGAGUCCUCAGGGUCCCCGCGCUGCGUCGGCCGGUAUCAGAAACAGCACGGAGGCAAACGCAGAUCUCUCAGCUGCAGGACAAGGGACCGGGACUAGGAACCUAUCUGCAGAUUCUACGGGAUCAUUUGUGCAGAAACGCUCUAAGAAAAAUAUAAUGACACGCAGAAUAAUCUUGUGUGUCCUAAAUCAUUGCGAUGAGAUCCAAGAGUGCCCAAGUGUGAGAAAAGAAAUAAUUCAAGUAAGACAUUUAUCCAGGGAGGACGCCUCCUCAGCUGCUCCGAGUCCCCGGGGCUGUGCUGAUGGUAGGGAUGCCGACGCUACCGAGGAGCGGGUAGCAGAAACGGAGAGAAACGACGAGGAGCAGUUCGACUGCCAGGAACGGUUCGAGUGCCAGGUGCAGUUGGGAGCUCCAGAGGAGGAGGAGGAUGCGGGCCUUGUGGCCGAGGCGGAGGCUGUGGCUGCUGGCUGGAUGCUCGAUUUCCUCUGCCUCUCUCUUUGCCGAGCUUUCCGCGACGGCCGCUCCGAGGACUUUCGCCAGACCCGCGACAGCGCCGAGGCUAUUAUUCAUGGACUAUCCAGUCUAACAGCUUAUCAGUUGAGAACUGUAUAUAUAUAUAUGUCAGUUUUUGACAAGAAUUGCAGCAGGAAAAAACCUUGAUGCACAGUUUGAAAAUGAUGAACGAAUUACACCCUUGAAAUCAGCCCUGAUGAUUUGGGGUUCGAUUGAAAAGGAACAUGACAAACUUCACGAAGAAAUACAGAAUUUAAUUGAAGUUCAGGCUAUAGCUGUUUGUAUGGAAAACGGGAACUUUAAAGAAGCAGAGUAAGUCUUUGAAAGAAUAUUUGGUGAUCCAAAUUCUUACGCGCCUUUAAAAAGGAAAUUGCUUAUGAUAAUCUCUCAGAAAGAUACAUACCAUUCUGUUUUUCAACACUUCAGUUACAACCACAUGAUGGGGAAAAUUAAGAGUUAUGUGAAUUAUGUGCUAAUUGAAAAAUCAUCAACCUUUCUAAAGAAGGCAGCAGCAAAAGUAGUAGAAAGUAAAAGAGCAAGAACAAUAACUUCUCAAGAUAAACCUAAUGGUAAUGAUGUUGAAAUGGAAACUGAAGCUAAUUUGGAUACAAGAAAAAGUGUUAGUGACAAACAGUCUGCGGUAACUGAAUCCUCAGAGGGUACAGUAUCCUUAUUGAGGUCUCACAAGAAUCUUCUCUUAUCUAACUUGAAGCAUGGAACCCAGCAACAAGAACUUAGUAAAGAAAGAAGAGUAGGAACUCUUCAAAGUGCAAAAAAGAAAAAAGAAAGCAGAAGAGCCACUGAAAGUAGAAUACCUGUUUCAGAAAGUCAACCGGUGACUCCUGAAAAACAUCGAGCUAGAAAAAGACAGGCAUGGCUUUGGGAAGAAGACAAGAAUUUGAGAUCUGGCGUGAGGAAAUUUGGAGAGGGAAACUGGUCUAAAAUACUGUUGCAUUAUAAAUUCAACAACCGGACAAGUGUCAUGUUAAAAGACAGAUGGAGGACCAUGAAGAAACUAAAACUCAUUUGCUCAGACAGUGAAGACUGAUUGCGUUUCUAAAAGCUUGAUGAAAGGACAGUUAAGUACAUGUAGAUCACUACAUUUUGUUUGAAACUUGCAUCAUUGAUGUAUUUUAAAACUUUUGUUUAAAGCAUUACAGUAUUUUUCUGUGACCAUCGAUAUAAAGGUUUGUGCUCUAAGAAUUAAAGUAUAUGCUAUCAUUGUGUUCUUUAAGAACCUUUUGAUAAACUGUAAAUUUGUUGAACCCUGCCACAUUUAGUAUCCCCACCUCCAAAUCCUAUUCCAGUGAAAAAAUUAAAAGCUGAUCUGAAAAAAAUAUUUUAAUUAACCUAUUUUGUGUCUGUAGGCUGACCUCAACCCUGUAACGUAACCCAUUAAAAUGAAUUUUUUAGAUAAUUGAA